ensembl:misc_RNA
CUGAGGGCAUUGGAAACCGAUGUUCUCUGUCCACAGAACAAGUACAUCAUAGGCAGACUAAUGUAAAGAUUUCCUACACUGGCCUGCCAGAAUGUCAUCAAACCUUUUCUGGAUGGACCACCUUUUAGGGGCAAGGAGAUACAUCAGUCUCUAUGCUGAUUCAUUCCUUAGCCUUC